rnacentral:misc_RNA from 1 species
GAAACACUGUAAAGAGGGAAACAGAGGCCGGAGUUGCUGAUCAGAAGUAUGGUGGUGGCGGCUACCCAGGCGGCGGUUACAACGGUGGCGGCUACCACAACGGUGGUGGAUAUCCAGGCGGAGGCUACAACGGGGGAGGUUACCACAAUGGCGGUGGAGGUUAUAACGGGGGAGGCUACCACAAUGGCGGUGGAUAUCCCGGAGGUGGUGGUGGCGGCCGCUGCUACAACGGUUGCUGCCGU